GAUGAACGCUAGCUACAGGCUUAACACAUGCAAGUCGAGGGGAAACGGCAUUGAGUGCUUGCACUCUUUGGACGUCGACCGGCGCACGGGUGAGUAACGCGUAUCCAACCUUCCCAUUACUGUGGGAUAACCUGCCGAAAGGCAGACUAAUACCGCAUAGUCUUCGAUGACGGCAUCAGAUUUGAAGUAAAGAUUUAUCGGUAAUGGAUGGGGAUGCGUCUGAUUAGCUUGUUGGCGGGGUAACGGCCCACCAAGGCAACGAUCAGUAGGGGUUCUGAGAGGAAGGUCCCCCACAUUGGAACUGAGACACGGUCCAAACUCCUACGGGAGGCAGCAGUGAGGAAUAUUGGUCAAUGGACGGAAGUCUGAACCAGCCAAGUAGCGUGCAGGAUGACGGCCCUAUGGGUUGUAAACUGCUUUUGUAUGGGGAUAAAGUUAGGGACGUGUCCCUAUUUGCAGGUACCAUACGAAUAAGGACCGGCUAAUUCCGUGCCAGCAGCCGCGGUAAUACGGAAGGUCCAGGCGUUAUCCGGAUUUUAUUGGGUUUAAAGGGAGCGUAGGCUGGAGAUUAAGUGUGUUGUGAAAUGUAGACCCUCAACGUCUGAAUUGCAGCGCAUACUGGUUUCCUUGAGUACGCACAACAUUGGGGGGAAUUCGGCGUGUAGCGGUGAAAUGCUGAGAUAUGACGAAGAACUCCGAUUGCGAAGGCAGCUGACGGGAGCGCAACUGACGCUUAAGCUCGAAGGGGCGGGAUCAAACAGG
rnacentral:rRNA from 1 species